rnacentral:rRNA from 1 species
UACGAAGGGGACUAGCGUUGUUCGGAAUCACUGGGCGUAAAGCGCACGUAGGCGGAUUCGUAAGUCAGGGGUGAAAUCCCGGGGCUCAACCUCGGAACUGCCUUUGAUACUGCGGGUCUUGAGUCCGAUAGAGGUGGGUGGAAUUCCUAGUGUAGAGGUGAAAUUCGUAGAUAUUAGGAAGAACACCGGUGGCGAAGGCGGCCCACUGGAUCGGUACUGGCGCUGAGGUGCGAAAGCGUGGGGAGCAAACAGG